rnacentral:rRNA from 1 species
AGGGAAUCUUCCACAAUGGACGAAGUCUGAUGGAGCAACGCCGCGUGAGUGAUGAAGGGUUUCGGCUCGUAAAACUCUGUUGUUGGAGAAGAACAGGUGAUAGAGUAACUGUUAUCAUCUUGACGGUAUCCAACCAGAAAGCCACGGCUAACUACGUGCCAGCAGCCGCGGUAAUACGUAGGUGGCAAGCGUUGUCCGGAUUUAUUGGGCGUAAAGCGAGCGCAGGCGGUUUUUUAGGUCUGAUGUGAAAGCCUUCGGCUUAACCGGAGAAGGGCAUCGGAAACCGGGAGACUUGAGUGCAGAAGAGGACAGUGGAACUCCAUGUGUAGCGGUGAAAAUGCGUAGAUAUAUGGAAGAACACCAGUGGCGAAGGCGGCUGUCUGGUCUGUAACUGACGCUGAGGCUCGAAAGCAUGGGUAGCGAACAGGAUUAGAUACCCUGGCAGUCCAUGCCGUAAACGAUGAGUGCUAAGUGUU